rnacentral:rRNA from 1 species
UACGGAGGAUCCAAGCGUUAUCCGGAAUCAUUGGGUUUAAAGGGUCCGUAGGCGGUCUUGUAAGUCAGUGGUGAAAGCCCAUCGCUCAACGGUGGAACGGCCAUUGAUACUGCAAGACUUGAAUUAUUGGGAAGUAACUAGAAUAUGUAGUGUAGCGGUGAAAUGCUUAGAGAUUACAUGGAAUACCAAUUGCGAAGGCAGGUUACUACCAAUAUAUUGACGCUGAGGCACGAAAGCGUGGGUAUCAAACAGG